AGAGUUUGAUCCUGGCUCAGGAUGAACGCUGGCGGCAUGCCUAAUACAUGCAAGUCGAACGAGGAUCCUUCGGGAUCCUAGUGGCGAACGGGUGAGUAACACGUAGGGAACCUGCCCGCGCACCGGGAAUACGCUCUGGAAACGGAGAACAAAUCCCGAUGUACAGGAAGGAGGCAUCUUCUUUCUGUGAAACAUCCUGUAAGGGAUGGGGCGCGGAUGGACCUGCGGUGCAUUAGUUGGUUGGCGAGGGUAAAGGCCCACCAAGACGAUGAUGCAUAGCCGGCCUGAGAGGGCGGACGGCCACAUUGGGACUGAGACACGGCCCAGACUCCUGCGGGAGGCAGCAGUAGGGAAUUUUCGUCAAUGGGCGCAAGCCUGAACGAGCGAUGCCGCGUGAGUGAAGAAGGCCUUCGGGUCGUAAAGCUCUGUUGCGGGGGAAAAAAGGCAUCUGCAGGAAAUGGUAGAUGACAGAUGGUGCCCCGCCAGAAAGUCACGGCUAACUACGUGCCAGCAGCCGCGGUAAUACGUAGGUGGCGAGCGUUAUCCGGAAUGAUUGGGCGUAAAGGGUGCGCAGGCGGUCCUGCAAGUCUGGAGUGAAACGUAUGAGCUCAACUCAUGCAUGGCUCUGGAAACUGGAGGACUGGAGAGCAGGAGAGGGCGGUGGAACUCCAUGUGUAGCGGUAAAAUGC
rnacentral:rRNA from 1 species